ensembl:lincRNA
GACGGGCGAGUGUCUCAGGGGGCGGGUGGUGGCGGGGGGCAGCCGGGUCCCCCAGACCGCUUGGGGAUUCAGGGGGAAGGGCACGGCGUGGUGGGGCGGCUCGAGGCUGGUGGCCGCGAGGCUGUCGGGAGGCAGAUGGCUCUGGGGUCGGAUCCUGACUAACUGCCCCCUCCCCUGACAGAUGCCAGCGAGGGCUGCACCGCGGUUGGUGGGGGCGUCCAGCCCUACCUAUAGAAGGGCCGAGACAGCAAUGCAAGUAGGUGUCACAAUUGCUUUGGAAAAAAAAAAAGUCAGCAGGCCAUUCUCUCCUCCCAAGUUCAUAAAUAUACAGAUAUAUAUAUAUAAAAUGACCUCUAAAUCUGGACCGCAUCUCGUGCCACUGUAAAAGGAAGGAUCCACAGGGCACUGCCAACCCACAGACUCUAUCGGAACAGACUUUUGUUGGACAUACGUGAAUUUGUUGGCAUAGUAUAGCUUCCCCAAUGUAUGUGUGACUUUUGAAAACAAUCUUUUUUCUCAGGAUAUCUUGAAUUGAUCACUUCAUUGCCACGGUAUAUAUUCUAUAGGUGUGAUAGGAUUUACUGUAAAAUUUAUUUGUAAAAGAUGUACACAGUAGAAAUAAAACGUGAUUAUAGAACUUGAGUACUUAAGAAGUGGAAACAAAUUUGAUAUUUAUUUUUAUAAUGAUAUAAAGCUUCUAGUAAUUUAUGCAAGUUGUAUUGCAAUGGAAUCUAAACCUUUUGUAAAUAAAUUCUGCCUGGUUUUUAUUUGAACAUUGCUGGUUAUACAAUCUUUGUUGGUUGUUUAACAAGAAUUCUUUACUAAUUUAUAUCUUAAAUUGUAAAUAAAAACAAACUAGUCUACAGCAGUGUGGUGUUUGGGGCUCAUUUGUCCUGGAAGAGUCUUUGGGUAGGGAGCCCUGGGGAUAGCAGCCCCUCCCCCCAGGUGAUCUGACCUCAGGCUUUUUAAUGAAAAUGUGUAAAAUAAUCCCUCCCUUCUGCUCCUGCAAGAAGGCAGAGGCAAGAGCAGUACACAGUAGGGAGAUACGCAUGGUUUUACAUUAUUUAUAUACACAUGCAUUGUAAGAAAAUCUGGAUUUUGUGUUCUGAAUAUGCAAAUGGCUUGUUAGUGUACAUUUAAAAAACUUGGCAAAAUAAAAUGAUCUGAUACUCCAUGUAUUAGGAUCCAUUGGACAUUUAUUUCUGGGCUUACUGAGCCUCCUCAGUAACUAGAGUAUUGUGAGUGGAUAAUGUGGAUAAUAUGGGGUAUAAAUGAUGCCCCCACCAUAAAUUAUUGAGUGAAAUAAUUGUUUAUUGUUUAUUUGAAUUGCCCAAAUUGGCGUAGAUUAUUCAGAUUUAAUGAACGGCUUCUUAACUCCUCUUUUCAUAUAACUCACGUUAAACACAAGGCGAAAAUCCGGGGAGGAGAGAUUUAUUUUCCUUUCAGUGGCUCUUAGCCUUACCCUGGGGGGAAACAAAAGUUUAAAGAACCCUAGACUAUUGCCUCGUUAUUGUGUGACUCACUACCUAAUUCUAGGACAAGUCUACAAUUUGUAGUCAAGGAACAUAUUCCCUUUGAUUAGUAUCAUAAAAGCAGCAAAACUGUCACUUUAAUUUUCAGCAAAAUUAUAUGGAUACCCAUAUAAUAUAAUUUCAGAAAAGAAAUGAACAAUCAUUUAUUUCCUCUCCAAAGAUAAAUUGAGUGAAUAUAACUUACGGUUAUAAAACAAGAAUAAUAGCUUCUUAGAUUGCCCUUUAAUCAAUCAUACACUUAUUUUUCAAGAGGUUCAUCUAUUUUAUUCCAUGAUUAAUAAUGUUGCAGCCUGAGAGCAUUAUUGGAUCCCAGCGGGGGUCGGCCCGGAUGCUUUUAGCUGCUUUGGAAUGGUCAGUUGGGGUUCAUUAUGGGCUGAUAUUGAACAAUUUAUAAAAUCUUGUCUAAACAUCUGCCGGCUCUGAUAGGCCGAUGUGUCUGAGGAUGGGAAAUUGCCGGACCAGUUGAUAUUGACAAACGGAUCUCUCUCCAGUGGCUUUUUGUGCCGUGGAAAUUAGUGGCCUCUUGCUGGGGUCUUGUUAGAAAGGGUAUUUGAAAGUAAUCUUAGCUACUUGAGGCAAAGCUAGGGGGCUGUGAACUGGUCACAGAGCCCUGCCUUUUAUGGGGUCUGACUGCCCAGGAAGGCACACACCACGGCUUCGGUUUUCUGUUCAUUUUCAGGCAUUCUGUUGGCUUGGAGUAGCUAUGCGAUCAGAGGUUAGCAGAAAGCGAAUUUUUGCGGGUAGAGAACUAUUUUUUCCUCCUUCCUGCCUCCCCUAGUAGGAGAUCUGGACGUGUUUGGAGUGGAGCUAUCUCUUGGUGACAGGGAAGAUUUUUCACGUGGGGAGCCUGGUUGCUCUGUGGCAGCCGUCUGGAGGAAAACAGAUUCGAGUCUGUGCACAUAAAAGGGAGCCAGGAGCUCCUUUGCCUGUUUUUGUUUCAGAUGGAACCUUUGUGGAAUUACCGUGAGGAUAAUGAUUUUCCCUCCAGAUAGCAUUUGACAUUGCAGUCUGAAGAUGUUAAGCGGUUUUGCUUUUAUUAACAUUAGCCAUAUUUCCUAAAUCAGCAGAGAAUCCAACCUCCGUGACAGCAAUAUUUCCUAUAUGUGAUAUUCUAAUUUGAAGGCUUGGGUGAAAAGUAUGGAAGUUAACAAUAUUUAACAAAUAGGCACUGAGAGACCGGGCUGCCUGAUGGCGAUGCUAGAGACAGCACUCUCGCUCUUAAAGAAGCAGGGAGGCGAGGGCACCGAGUAAAAACCGAUCUCCCUGCAUAUGUUCAGAAACUGAAGCCUGCCUGAAAACUGCCUCCCUUCGGAACAGAAGAUUGUUUUACCUGGAUACAUGAUUCCUUCGCUGCACACACGGGCGUGCAGGCGAGCGCGCGUGCACACACACACACGCACACACACACACACCCCAGACCUCCUUCUCAGGGACAAUCUGCACCUUUCAAUUGGUGCAAACUCCGAGCAGCUCAGGAGAUUAGCCCAGACUAACGAACCCUCUUUGAUGUUUGUAUGCCCAACAAAUUAUCAAUGAUUUCCAUAACUUACCCACCCUGCCACCUGACCUGAAUUUCUUUCGGGAAAACUUGAUUUUUUUUUAAUGUAUGCUAAGCACAGAAAACCCGCAGGUGUUUAGAGGCAUCUUUUUAAAGGAAAUGUAGAAUGCGUUUUAUGGUUCCUCCGUUGCAGGUCUUUAGGAAAGAUGAGGGAGAAACAGAGAGGCUCUUCUCAGGGAAGAGGGUUACUGUGUCUGAUUGCUCUCUUCUGCUUUAGAAUUCAGCUAAUCAAACAUUACGUCCCGGCCCACGGAGGCUUUCACAGAUGUUAGCGGAGGCCGGGGAGAGGGAGGCGGGGGGCGGGGGGGGGGGGGGGCGCGGGGGGGGGGGGGGGGGGGCGGUGGGGUCUCACUUUCCAUUUGCUCAGUUGGGAGCCCCGGGUAUGGGGGCAAAGUAGGAGGGCAGGAGGAAGCUGGAGGUGUCACACCCAAAUGUAUAUCCUUAUGACACAAGUCUGGCAUAUUUCGCAGAGAGAAAAAGGGCAGCACAUAUGCUACCUCUACCCAUUUCCCUUUUUUUCUACAGAACCAAUCUAAUUGUAAAACAGUAUUUUACUUAAGAGACCCUCCAACUGGCCACCGUUCACCAU